UGAAGUCAAGCCGCAGGAGCGGAGCGCUUUCUCGAGGCGUUUUUAAAUAGGAGCGAAAGCAGCAGCGGGGAGGUCGGGUAAAAAAAAGCAGCAUAAAUAUACAGCCAAACUUUGGGCGAGCGGACAGAGCAGACAAAGGAUAGGAAACGCGGACAGGAAAAGGCUGUAGAAGAAGAGGAGAGUGUCACAGUGUGAUGCUACUCCUCCUAAAGCAAUUGGAGCCCAGUGUGUUUUCAGUACAGGACAUCUCCCUCUGCUGUGCUUCUGCCCUCACCCACCCCAUCUCAGGUGCUGUAGCAGCGAGGCCACAGUGGUUUCAGCUGUCCAGCAAGCAAAGCAGCAACAGAGAGCAAAGCUCAACAGAGAGCAGACUGAGAACCCAUCGGAAACCUCUUGGGCCCCGGGCUUGCUAACCCAGAAUAACACUUUAAGAACUUUGCAACAUUCAAAAGAAGAGAAAAUAAACCCUGUGCAGCUAUUUAAAUUUAUAUUUCUUAGUCUUCUUUGGAGAAGAAAAUAAAUGCAAGAAAAAUAUAAUCUU